rnacentral:rRNA from 1 species
AUGUGAUCGUCUCUCGCAUAUCAAUAAGCGGAGGAAAAGAAACUAACAAGGAUUCCCCUAGUAACGGCGAGUGAAGCGGGAAGAGCUCAAAUUUGAAAUCUUAAAGGGUUUCCCUUUACGAAUUGUAGUUUAAAGAAGUGUUUUCUGUUGAGGUUUUGGUAAAAGUUCUUUGGAAUAGGACAUCAUAGAGGGUGAGAAUCCCGUAUUUGACCUUUACUUUCAACUUUGUGAUACACUUUCAAAGAGUCGGAUUGUUUGGGAAUGCAGUCCAAAAUGGGUGGUAAAUUUCAUCUAAAGCUAAAUAUUGGCGAGAGACCGAUAGCGAACAAGUACCGUGAGGGAAAGAUGAAAAGAACUUUGAAAAGAGAGUUAAACAGUACGUGAAAUUGUCAAAAGGGAAGCGUUUGACACCAGUGUUGUUUUUCUGAAAAUCAAUUAAAGAACUGUUUAUGCUAAGUUGUUUAGACUUUAUCAGCUAACUGUUUAGUUUUGAGCUUUUCUUUAAUGCACUUUUCAGUUAACAAGUCAACAUCAAUUUCUUUUGCUGUAAAAAAGCUUGAGGAAGGUGGCUUGAGAUUCGUCUUAAGUGUUUAUAGCCUCUUGCCUAUGCAGUCGGAGAGAUUGAGGUCUGCAGCGUAGAUCCUUCGGGGCUAAAUGCAUUUGUGCUAAGUUAUAACAUUUUAUAGACAACUUGUUGACUAUGAUUUGUCUUGUAGCUUACUCGCUUAUGUUAUUUUACCUACGCUUAGGAUGUUGAUCUACAGAGCGAGAGU